CUUCUGCCUGCAGUUGAUGCCUGGAGACAGCUGAAAAGAAAUUACAGAAAUUGAUGUUUAAGAAGUACAUUUUGCAUCAUGUUUUAGCAAUAUAGGUGCUUCAUCACCACUUCAGACAGACAAAAUUAUCUUCAGACAAUCUACUUCUUAUACUUCUCCAGUUUUCUCUCUGAUCUGG